rnacentral:rRNA from 1 species
GAUGAACGCUGGCGGCGUGCCUAAUACAUGCAAGUCGAGCGAACAGACGAGGAGCUUGCUCCUCUGACGUUAGCGGCGGACGGGUGAGUAACACGUGGAUAACCUACCUAUAAGACUGGGAUAACUUCGGGAAACCGGAGCUAAUACCGGAUAAUAUAUUGAACCGCAUGGUUCAAUAGUGAAAGACGGUUUUGCUGUCUCUUAUAGAUGGAUCCGCGCCGCAUUAGCUAGUUGGUAAGGUAACGGCCUACCAAGGCGACGAUGCGUAGCCGACCUGAGAGGGUGAUAGGCCACACUGGAACUGAGACACGGUCCAGACUCCUACGGGAGGCAGCAGUAGGGAAUCUUCCGCAAUGGGCGAAAGCCUGACGGAGCAACGCCGCGUGAGUGAUGAAGGUCUUCGGAUCGUAAAACUCUGUUAUUAGGGAAGAACAAAUGUGUAAGUAACUAUGCACGUCUUGACGGUACCUAAUCAGAAAGCCACGGCUAACUACGUG